AAAGCUCCCAGGUAAGUGGGAAGAUUCAAGUUCUCGGUUAGAGACUAUUAGGUUCCUGGAUUAAGGACUAUUGAGGUUCUCAGAGUGAGACAAAAUUAUCCAAAAAUUAAAAGAAAAGCAAUUGGUUGUAGCCCCUGAAAAGGUGCAGAAGGGCAAGGUCAUCCAUUAUUUGGGAAGCAAAAUAACAGAAAGAUAUAUAACUCCACAGAAGAUUCAAAUUAGAACUGAUCAUCUAAGGACUUUAAAUGAUUUUCAAAAGUUUCUAGGAGAUAUUCAAUGGGUUAGGCCUUAUCUGGGUCUAACAAAUAAGCAAUUGCAAUCUCUUUAUGACACCUUGCCAGGAGCGACAGCCCUGGAUUCAGAGAGAGCUCUUACAGAAGAAGGAAGGGAAGCCUUAAAGUUAGUAGAGAAGGCUAUUCAAAUUGCUGCUUUAAAGAGGAGAGAGGUUGAUCUUCCUAUAUCAUUAUGUAUUUUGCCAUCAGGAAAUCAACCUACUGGAGUCCUCUGGCGGGGCACUCCUUUAUUAUGGAUCCAUCCUAAAAUUUCCCCCACCAAAGUGUUAUCCUAUUAUCCUGCCUCGGUUGCCCAGUUGGCAUUGCUGGGUUUACAGCAAUGCGUGCAGCAUUUUGUUACCCCUCCUGAUGAAAUUAUUGUACCAUAUGAUAGUAGACAAGUUGAAGUGUUGUCUGCCACUGUAGAUGACUGGGCAGUUUUAAGAUGCAGUUUUUUAGGCAAGAUAGAUAAUUAUUUUCCCAAAGAUCCUAUUUUAUAGUUGUGUAAAACUCACCCUGUAAUUUUUCCUGUGAUUAUCUCUCGAGUACCAUUGAAAGGGGCUCCUCUAAUUUUUACAGAUGGAUCAAAGGCAGGAUGCGGAGCCUAUUUAGUUCAAGGCUCUGUGCCUAUAGUUUUACAAUUCCCCCCUGCCUCAUUGCAAGUUAUAGAAUUACAGAUUGUGAUUUAGGUUUUUGAACAACAUUUAGGGGCCUUUAAUUUCAUAUCAGAUAGUCAAUAUGUGGUUAAUGCUCUUGCUAUCUUGGAGGUGGUUGGUAGGGUGAAUAUUAGGUCCAGCAU
rnacentral:lncRNA from 1 species